UACGUAGGAGGCGAGCGUUGUCCGGAAUUACUGGGCGUAAAGCGCGCGUAGGCGGUCUUUCGCGUAGGCGGUGAAAGCCCCCGGCUCACCCGGGGGAGGUCCGUCUAAACGGGGAGACUUGAGGGCGGUAGGGGCCGGUGGAACGCCCGGAGUAGCGGUGAAAUGCGUUGAGAUCGGGCAGAACACCAGUGGCGAAGGCGGCCGGCUGGGCCGUUCCUGACGCUGAGGCGCGAAAGCCAGGGGGAGCGGAACGGA
rnacentral:rRNA from 1 species